UACAGGGGGUGCAAACGUUGCUCGGAAUUAUUGGGCGUAAAGCGCGCGUAGGCGGCCACUUAAGUCGGAUGUGAAAGCCCCUGGCUCAACUGGGGAAGUGCACCCGAAACUGAAUGGCUUGAAUGCAAAAGAGGGUCGCGGAAUUCCCGGUGUAGAGGUGAAAUUCGUAGAUAUCGGGAGGAACACCGGUGGCGAAGGCGGCGACCUGGGUUGACAUUGACGCUGAGGCACGAAAGCGUGGGGAGCAAACAGG
rnacentral:rRNA from 1 species